rnacentral:rRNA from 1 species
CUGGAGGUAUCAGAAGUGCGAAUGCUGACAUAAGUAACGAUAAAGCGGGUGAAAAGCCCGCUCGCCGGAAGACCAAGGGUUCCUGUCCAACGUUAAUCGGGGCAGGGUGAGUCGACCCCUAAGGCGAGGCCGAAAGGCGUAGUCGAUGGGAAACGGGUUAAUAUUCCCGUACUUGGUGUUACUGCGAAGGGGGGACGGAGAAGGCUAUGUUGGCCGGGCGACGGUUGUCCCGGUUUAAGCGUGUAGGUGUGUGUUCCAGGUAAAUCCGGUUCACUUUAACACUGAGGCGUGAUGACGAGGCACUACGGUGCUGAAGCAAC